CCGAAACUAAAGAUCCAUUGCGUGUGCAACCACACCUUAAGAAAUGUUUUGAAGGUAUUACUAAAUUGAAUUUUACAAAAAGUAUAGAAAUAGUGGGAAUGAUAUCUGCUGAUGGUGAAGUAGUUGCUUUUAAUGGAAUAAUUUAUCCUGCCGAUGCCAAA
rnacentral:sRNA from 1 species